GACAUUACAAGUGAGGCUACCGAACGUUGGAAACAGCGGUUAGGAGCUUACACCCACCCGUGUCUACAUACUAUUGUUGCUUUGGCGGGCCGUGGCCUCCACUGCGGGCUCUGCUCGUGUGUGCCCGCCAGAGAACCAAACUCUGAAUGUUAGUGAUGUCUGAGUACUAUCUAAUAGUUAAAACUUUCAACAACGGAUCUCUUGGUUCUGGCAUCGAUGAAGAACGCAGCGAAAUGCGAUAAGUAAUGUGAAUUGCAGAAUUCAGUGAAUCAUCGAAUCUUUGAACGCACAUUGCGCCCUGUGGUAUUCCGCAGGGCAUGCCUGUUCGAGCGUCAUUUAACCACUCACGCCUAGCGUGGUAUUGGGGCACGCGGUCUCCGCGGCCCUCAAAAUUAGUGGCGGCGCCGGUGGGCUCUAAGCGUAGUACAUACUCCCGCUAUAGAGUUCCCCCGGUGGCUCGCCAGAACCCCCAAUUUUUACAGGUUGACCUCGGAUCAGGUAGGGAUACCCGCUGAACUUAAGCAUAUCAAUAAGCGGAGGAA
rnacentral:rRNA from 1 species